rnacentral:rRNA from 2 species
UGGGGAAUAUUGGACAAUGGGCGCAAGCCUGAUCCAGCCAUGCCGCGUGUGUGAAGAAGGCCUUAGGGUUGUAAAGCACUUUCAGAGGGGAGGAAAGGAUUGUGGUUAAUACCCGCGAUCUGUGACGUUACCCUCAGAAGAAGGACCGGCUAACUCCGUGCCAGCAGCCGCGGUAAUACGGAGGGUCCAAGCGUUAAUCGGAAUUACUGGGCGUAAAGCGCGCGUAGGCGGUUACAUAAGUUGGAAGUGAAAGCCCCGGGCUUAACCUGGGAACUGCUUUCAAAACUGUGUGACUAGAGUGCAGCAGAGGAUAGUGGAAUUUCUAGUGUAGCGGUGAAAUGCGUAGAUAUUAGAAGGAACACCAGUGGCGAAGGCGACUGUCUGGGCUGACACUGACGCUGAGGUGCGAAAGCGUGGGGAGCAAACAGG